ensembl:snRNA U6 U6 spliceosomal RNA
GUGCUCACCUGGGCAGCACAUAUACUAAAAUUGGAACUAUACAGAGAAGAUUAGCAUGGCCCCUGCGCAAGGUUGACAAUUUAAAAAUAUUUAAAAAUAAAAACAGAAUUU